rnacentral:rRNA from 1 species
GCAUAACGCGAAGAACCUUACCUGGUCUUGACAUCCACGGAAGUUUUCAGAGAUGAGAAUGUGCCUUCGGGAACCGUGAGACAGGUGCUGCAUGGCUGUCGUCAGCUCGUGUUGUGAAAUGUUGGGUUAAGUCCCGCAACGAGCGCAACCCUUAUCCUUUGUUGCCAGCGGUUAGGCCGGGAACUCAAAGGAGACUGCCAGUGAUAAACUGGAGGAAGGUGGGGAUGACGUCAAGUCAUCAUGGCCCUUACGACCAGGGCUACACACGUGCUACAAUGGCGCAUACAAAGAGAAGCGACCCCGCGAGGGCAAGCGGACCUCAUAAAGUGCGUCGUAGUCCGGAUUGGAGUCUGCAACUCGACUCCAUGAAGUCGGAAUCGCUAGUAAUCGUAGAUCAGAAUGCUACGGUGAAUACGUUCCCGGGUCUUGUACACACCG